UACGUAGGGCGCAAGCGUUGUCCGGAAUUAUUGGGCGUAAAGAGCUCGUAGGCGGUUUGUCGCGUCUGCCGUGAAAGCCCGGGGCUUAACUCCGGGUCUGCGGUGGAUACGGGCAGACUAGAGGCAGGUAGGGGAGAACGGAAUUCCAGGUGUAGCGGUGAAAUGCGUAGAUAUCUGGAGGAACACCGGUGGCGAAGGCGGCAUCCUGGACCGGCAUUGACGCUGAGGCGCGAAAGCCAGGGGAGCAAAGCGGG
rnacentral:rRNA from 1 species